CCGAGUUUCACUCCCAAACCCCCUGUGAACAUACCUAUACGUUGCCUCGGCGGAUCAGCCCGCGCCCCGUAAAACGGGACGGCCCGCCCGAGGACCCCUAAACUCUGUUUUUAGUGGAACUUCUGAGUAAAACAAACAAAUAAAUCAAAACUUUCAACAACGGAUCUCUUGGUUCUGGCAUCGAUGAAGAACGCAGCAAAAUGCGAUAAGUAAUGUGAAUUGCAGAAUUCAGUGAAUCAUCGAAUCUUUGAACGCACAUUGCGCCCGCCAGUAUUCUGGCGGGCAUGCCUGUUCGAGCGUCAUUUCAACCCUCAAGCUCAGCUUGGUGUUGGGACUCGCGGUAACCCGCGUUCCCCAAAUCGAUUGGCGGUCACGUCGAGCUUCCAUAGCGUAGUAAUCAUACACCUCGUUACUGGUAAUCGUCGCGGCCACGCCGUUAAACCCCAACUUCUGAAUGUUGACCUCGGAUCAGGUAGGAAUACCCGCUG
rnacentral:rRNA from 1 species